rnacentral:rRNA from 1 species
CUUUUGUGGGGUGCUCGAGUGGCGAACGGGUGAGUAACACGUGAGUAACCUGCCCUUGACUUUGGGAUAACUUCAGGAAACUGGGGCUAAUACCGGAUAGGAGCUCCCGCUGCAUGGUGGGGGUUGGAAAGUUUCGGCGGUUGGGGAUGGACUCGCGGCUUAUCAGCUUGUUGGUGGGGUAGUGGCUUACCAAGGCCUUGACGGGUAGCCGGCCUGAGAGGGUGACCGGCCACAUUGGGACUGAGAUACGGCCCAG